AUUACCUUUUCUUGAAUAAAUGCUUUGAAAUGGGAGCUUUUAAACACUAGCAGCGUUUACAUGGACACUACUAAUCAGAUCGUAAUAGGACUAGAAGCACAGUCAGCAUAAAAAAGUGACAUGUAAACACGUCAAUAGGAUUUAAUUGGCCAGAUCCGACUAAAAUUUUGAUCGGAUUGUAAAGGGUGGUUUAUUCCUUUUGUAAUCCGAGUGAGAGGACAUAACUUGAUCGGAUUGAAUAGACCCUUUUACAGCCCACGUGAUCAAAUAGUUGUGCGCGCAUUUUGGCAACGGAAGAGGUGUUGUUCCCCAGUGGUUCUAACGUGUUAGCAACUCCGAAAGUUUAUCAAAACGGUUUCCCAGCAUCAAAAUGCCUGACUGUUGCGUUUACAGUUGCACUAAUCGAUAUUCCACCAAUGGCCUUAAGUUUUAUAGGAUUUCAACAGGAUCACGGCUGUUUCAGAAGAACCGGCGGCACCUGUGGCUGCAGGCGAUUAAACGCGUUGAUUGGAACGAGGACAUAAUAAAAAAAUGCUCGAGUCUGCAGCACCCACUUUAUAUCAGCAAGAAAGAGGAAUCCUUCUCUGUCUGGGAGUUUUUUAAAUGGUUGGUCACAAUAAGGUGAAAUGCUUGCUGUACCUAAAGGAGCUGAUCAUACAACAAUAACACCUCCAUUCUAAGGCAUUACCGAGCACUGCACGAGCAAGCACAGACUACUAACAAUCUUUAUCAAAUCAAAUCAAUAUUUAUCCAAAGUGAAUCUCACAAGAUCUGAGGAUCCACUAGUAUAUUGGGCUCAACAUAAACAUCUGUCUCCUCAUUUAUACCAGCUGACACUGACAUUUUUAUGUUCCCCCGUAUCCUCUGUUCCAUGCGAAAGGAUCUUUUCCAAGGCUGGAGAGGUUCUGUCCAAAAGGAGGAAU